UACCUAAUGGAGAACCUCACACUUUGUAGACAUUUUGGAAGCUGGAAGGGACAGUACCUAAUGCUGUGCUAUGAGAAAAAAGGACUUGAUAACUUGGUAUGUUAAAUUAAGUUGCAGUGAAGUUCUGAAAGCAAGAAGAGCAAGAGACUUUUUUAGGAUGAAUAUUUCUAAAUGUAUUUUUGAUAAUGCAAAAGACUAUUUAUGCUAAGCCUCUACUGCAUGUUCCCUGAGUAGCAGAACGAUCCAUUUCAGGAGCAUAUUUUAUGUGAUGCUGACACCAGCUGCUCCAUGGAGACCUUCAGGUUCCUGCCAGAGUUUAAUUGGCACCCAGGAGCAGAUGGGCUCCAAAGAACCAAAAAAGUGAUCCUGUUUCAUAAUAAGUCUUUAUCUCAGCAUGAAAAAAAGCAAUAAAUUGUGAAGAGUCUGAA